rnacentral:lncRNA from 1 species
CAGUGCUCCAUUUAUUUCCUAUUAUACUUAAGCCUCCAAUCUUACAUAGGGUCAAUGAUGACACAUUAAGACUUUAGUUGUCAAUGUCAAGUUACACUCAGGCUCUGUCCAACUGUCUUCAAAUAUAUGAGUAUUUCCCAUUCUUUAGUGUACAGUGUUAUGAAUAGGGAAAUCAUCACAACUUCUGAUGUUCUGUAGUGUUGCAUGGUGCUUCUUCCUAUGAACCUGACCACCUCUUCAGUCAUUGGCUUCCAAAUCUAAAACUUAGCACAGGUCUGAGAACUCAGCAAGUAAUCACGACUUCUUUUGAAAAAUUACAGAUUCAGAAUGUGUAUGUUCAUAUCUAUUUCAUGGAUACAUUGCAUAAUGGGAGGUUUGGGCUUCUCAUGUCACCCAAAUAGUGACCAUUGUACCAAAUAAAUAAUUUUUCAACUCUCAUCUCUUUCCUACCCUCCCCACUUUUGGAGUUCCCAGUGUCUAUUAUUUCCAUAUUUGUGUCUAUGUAUACCCAUUGUUUAGCUCCCACUUGUAAGUGAGAACAUAUGAUAUUUGAUUUUCUGUUUUUAAGUUAUUUCACUUAGGAUAAUGGCAUCCAGCUCUAUGUAUAUUACUGAAAAGACAUGAUUUCAUUCUUUUUUAUAGCUGCAUAAUAUUCCAUGGUGUAUAUAUACCACAUUCUUUUCCCAGUCAUCAAUCACUGGACGCUUAAGUUGAGUAAUGGCUUUUUAUUGAGGGUAUUACAAAGCUCAAAUCUGAGAAAACCUUGUCUACCAUCAACCCUGACCUACAGAGGAGAGGCACCCCCAAGCUUAUUAGUGAUCCUGUCUCCGUCUUAUUGGCACAUCCUGAUGGCCUUGAUCUCUAGUUCUUCCUGUGGAGCAUAACCAUAUGGUAGGUCUUCAGGCCUCACAUAAUAAAUCCAUUCCACGUUCCCAAGUGCUUCAGCCUCUUUAUUCCUUUCACUGUUUUCUUCCAGAGCGACUCAAGAAUUUCCAUUUUGCUUAGUAUUAGCCAUCACUUUCUCCAGGUUUCUAAGAAUAACACUUACAGAGAGUUUUCCUCAUUUUUUAGGUUCUUUGCCAAGAUGUUAAGACCAAAGUCGGAGAGUGAACCCCAUGUCAAUGAAUUCUUGUUUUUCUGAUCUUACAUUCCAUCACUUUGAUCCAGUACUCUCAAAAUGCAAUCACAGUUGUACAUGUCUUCUCCUGUCAAUAAACGCUACCUUAGUACUGCAGUUCCUUAAGUGUGUUGUUUCUUUCUUUUCUUAUCAGGCCCAGAACACACUUAACGUAGAUCAUGGUAACUUUCAACUCUAGUUUUCAACCUAGUAGGAAGGAGAAAUGGGACUGUGUAGUAUUUUAAAGUUUUAUAGUCUUUUUCUUUCUUUUUUUUUUUUUUUAGACAGAGUCUUGCUAUGUAAUCCAGGAUGGAGUGCAGUGGUCAGUGGUGCAAUCACAGAUUACUGCAACCUCUGCCUCCCAGGUUCAAGUGAUCCUUUCACCUCAGUCUCCUGAGUAGCUGGUACUACAGCAUACAUCACCACGCCCAGCAAAGUUUUGUAGUUUUUAGUAGUGAUAGGGUUUCAUCAUGUUGCCCAGGUUAGUCUCCAACUCCUGGGCUUAAGUGAUUCACCCACAUAGGCCUCCCCAAAUGCUGGGAUUACAGGUGCAAGUCACUCUACCCAGGCUGGGUCUUAUAGUCUAAUAAAGGAGUGAAAGAACUAGUUUACUGCACAAAAGUGAACUAUUUCUCCAAGCUCUGCCAGUUCAAGGGUGUCUAUAAGUCAUCAUCUACAUGGACACUUGUCUAGAUAUUCCCAUCCCAAGCUUCAGAGUCCCAGAUUGUCUUAACCAGGGCCUUGAUUUUAGCACAAAAACACCUGUCUUGAAGGACUUUCAGAUGUCUCUGAAGUUAUGCAAAUAUAAUUAUCAAAUUUUCAAUUUGCU